rnacentral:rRNA from 1 species
UACAGAGGUCUCAACCGUUGUUCGGAUUCAUUGGGCGUAAAGGGUGCGUAGGUGGCGCCGUAAGUCGGGUGUGAAAUUUCGGAGCUUAACUCCGAAACUGCAUUCGAUACUGCGGUGCUUGAGGACUGGAGAGGAGACUGGAAUUCAUGGUGUAGCAGUGAAAUGCGUAGAGAUCAUGAGGAAGACCAGUGGCGAAGGCGGGUCUCUGGACAGUUCCUGACACUGAGGCACGAAGGCCAGGGGAGCAAACGGG